UCUAUAACCGGGUGUGGUUGCGGCCCUCGGGGGCGUGGGCGCCUUUUGGUGCCCUCUCUUCCGGGUGGUAGAGGUAAAACUCUCACGCACCACAUGUCUGAAUCCUUUUUUUACGAGCACCUUUCGUUCUCCUUCGGUGGGGCAACCUGCCGUUGGAACUUAUCAAACUCUUUUUUGCAUUUAGCAUUACCUGUUCUGAUACAAACAAUCGUUA
rnacentral:misc_RNA from 1 species